rnacentral:rRNA from 1 species
AUUGAACGCUGGCGGCAUGCCUUACACAUGCAAGUCGAACGGUAACGGGCCUUCGGGUGCCGACGAGUGGCGAACGGGUGAGUAAUGUAUCGGAACGUACCUUUCAGUGGGGGAUAACGUAGCGAAAGUUACGCUAAUACCGCAUAUUCUGUGCGCAGGAAAGCAGGGGACCUUCGGGCCUUGCGCUGAUUGAGCGGCCGAUAUCAGAUUAGCUAGUUGGUGAGGUAAAGGCUCACCAAGGCGACGAUCUGUAGCGGGUCUGAGAGGAUGAUCCGCCACACUGGAACUGAGACACGGUCCAGACUCCUACGGGAGGCAGCAGUGGGGAACUUUGGACAAUGGGGGCAACCCUGAUCCAGCCAUGCCGCGUGAGUGAAGAAGGCCUUCGGGUUGUAAAGCUCUUUCGGCCGGGAAGAAAUCGUAUGGGCUAAUACCCUGUGCGGAUGACGGUACCGGCAUAAGAAGCACCGGCUAACUACGUGCCAGCAGCCGCGGUAAUACGUAGGGUGCGAGCGUUAAUCGGAAUUACUGGGCGUAAAGCGUGCGCAGGCGGUUUUGUAAGGCAGGCGUGAAAUCCCCGGGCUCAACCUGGGAACUGCGUUUGUGACUGCAAGGCUAGAGUACGGCAGAGGGGGGUGGAAUUCCACGUGUAGCAGUGAAAUGCGUAGAGAUGUGGAGGAACACCAAUGGCGAAGGCAGCCCCCUGGGUCGAUACUGACGCUCAUGCACGAAAGCGUGGGUAGC